rnacentral:tRNA from 1 species
CGAGGAUAGCUCAAUGGGUAGAGCACCGUGUUGAGGCCACGGGUGUUGCAGGUUCGAUUCCUGCUCCGACCA